AAUUACAGAAUCACGUCUUCCAAAUUUGUUGCUACUACGACUGCCAUCAGGUAGUUUAUGGUUUUGUUUCACAGUUACUUUUAAGCAGAACCGUACUACUCAAAUAUACAACAAGAUUUUUGGUCCAUAACUACAAUUGAUGACAGGUUAUUGUGUUUUUAGGUCAAUCAGUUAAAACUGUAAGCAUCAUAUGUACUUAUUUUUUUCUCGCCUUUGCAACCUAUGGUCAGUUUUUGAAAGCCAGUGGUAAAUAUCUUGUGACAUGAAAAACAGAUAAAUGUAUUGAUGAAGUGCUCCAAGAGGCUGAUAUUGCUAUUAUCUACACCGAAAGUGCACUAUUGAAUUUCUUAUUCAUUUAUCUGUAUACAUAGUACUACUGGAUUUCUCAUUCAAGUUCUUAAAGCUUUUGUAGAUAAGUUUAAAUGCAAUCCUUGAUAAAACAAUGUAUCACCUUGUAAACAAAAAACAGUUUGGGUGGAUGAAGAAGGUAAUUUUAGUUGCAAGAUUAUCUAAUGUGCUUUCUGAUUUAUCUAAGUGCGAUGUCUUGAUGUUACUCCACUGAAACUUGUUAGAAGUGAUACUUGUGAACUAUAAUAGGGGGUCUGUGAUAGGUGAGGGAGCUCUUGUUGAGCAUCUGAGAGAAAAUCUCAUGUUUUGUGUUGGAGUUGAUGUGUUUAAGCUAAUCACAGUACUAACAUUUUUCUUUUAAAUCUCUUGUGAGGUGUGAAUCCUGCAGUGUGGUCGAAAAAUUGCCUAUUCUUUAGAUGAGACAUAAUAGUGUGAUCACUCCGCAAGAAUCCACUAUCAAUCAAUGUGUUUAUCUUUUGCUGUUAGAUAAUCACAGUAUUUAUCAAUAAUCACCCUUGUAAUAGGAGUAGCUUAAAGGCAAUGGAUAUUUUAAUGAAGGAAAUCUAGGACCUCUUGGUAGUCAUGCUUUGCAAUUGAUACUGCAAUUACCUGUACUUUUUUCAAAUACUUCAUUGUCCUGUUUUAUUGCCACCAUUUGGACCUUAAUAGAGCGGAAUAAAUAUAGAGGAUUCACAUAGCGCAAACUAACUUGGGAUUGAGUCUGAGUUGAUUGAUUGAUAUACUCUAUAUGAUUUCCAAUUCUUUCUAGAUGAAAUACUUGCUCAGGAACAAAUUGACAAAGCAGUGAAAGUCUUGUUUGGGGCUAUAUUACAUGGUUUAGUAUUUAUUGCUUGAAGCUGUAUCUUCCUUGAGCUGAGUAUGCUGAAAUGUAAAUAAAUUGGUUCAAAUAAUUUCUUGAACAGAUCCCCAACGAGUUUUUACAUGCUGAGUACGGUGGUGUAGGAACAUUAUUGGUUGUUCCAUUCAUCGAUAUGGCAGAUACCAUAAACGAUAGGGGUUUACCAGGUGUGGACCACAGAUAAAUAAUUUUUUAUAUUGGAUUAUAUCUUUUUGGAUUGAAGAACAAAAGUUUUAAUUUUUGAUUGAAUCACGUUGAAGAAUACAUUGCAUGGUUUUGGGAGAGAAGAUGGAGGAGGAAGAAAGAGCAAUAAGCAGAGCUACCAGGUUAAUGUUUUUCUGUUACAUUUUCUUUUUGUGCUUUAUAAAAUUAUUUUAUUUUUGUGUUGUUGAUUUCUGUUAUGGUCAAUGUUAAAUUAUUUUUGUUAAAAAGAAUAGGGUAGUAGAAGUUUUGUUUGUUUUGUUUUGUUUAUUUUUUGUGGUUUGGGUGACCAAGCUGUUAUCUGAACGUUUGGUCUGAGUCUUGAGUUUGGAGUGGCAUAUCAUCAGGUUCGAAUAUUUUACGAUAAUUAGGAUGAGUACAACGUGACCCUUAUGCUUGAUCUUUUUCAUAAAAAAAAGUACAUUUUUCACCAUCAUAAGUGUUCCUUAUGAAAUAGACUGAGAAGUCUUGGAAUGUUGCUAGUAACUAGAGUUCAAAUAUGGAGAGACGGUGAUGGAGGAAAACCUAGAAGGUGUUUCAUGUUUUUGUUGUGUGUAAUGUAAUUCUGUGAAAAAUGCUUGACUAUUAUUUGAGCAAAAGGUGUUCUUUCUAUGCAAUAUUUCAUGAUUUCUCUACUUCAUCAAUUUGAAUUAACGGAAAUCAUCAGUACUGAGAAUGAACGUAGCGCAUCACGUCACCUGAAGCAUUGUGCCUUAGAAGGGAACAUACCAAUUACAGUUAGACUCUUCUUUAAUUACGUAGUUUAGCUGGUUAAUUGAAUUAUUUAGUUUAAGUAUAUUAAGCUCCAACUUGCAUAAAAGUGCAUUGUGGAAUAGCCAUUGAUGCUCUGAUGUUUUGGAGCAUCCAAAUCUCUUCUUUUUAGCUCUACCUUACCAUAUAACACUUCAUUUUUUGUUUUUCAUUUUGUUCAGACAAGUUACUGGAUCAUAAGGAGUUUACAACAUAGAAAUUUUGUUUUGUAUAAAUAAUACUAAUAAACUGUUUGUAAAAAUUAUUCAUUCAAUUAUAAAUGACACUUUCAAGGGGAAAAAAGAGGACGC
rnacentral:lncRNA from 1 species